UUUGGUGGCGAUAGCGAAGAGGUCACACCCGUUCCCAUUCCGAACACGGCAGUUAAGCUCUUCAGCGCCGAUGGUAGUUGGGGUUCCCCCUGUGAGAGUAGGACGCCGCCAAGC
rnacentral:rRNA from 1 species